rnacentral:rRNA from 1 species
GAUGAACGCUGGCGGCGUGCCUAAUACAUGCAAGUCGAGCGAACAGAUGAGGAGCUUGCUCCUCUGACGUUAGCGGCGGACGGGUGAGUAACACGUGGAUAACCUACCUAUAAGACUGGGAUAACUUCGGGAAACCGGAGCUAAUACCGGAUAAUAUAUUGAACCGCAUGGUUCAAUAGUGAAAGACGGUUUUGCUGUCACUUAUAGAUGGAUCCGCGCCGCAUUAGCUAGUUGGUAAGGUAACGGCUUACCAAGGCGACGAUGCGUAGCCGACCUGAGAGGGUGAUCGGCCACACUGGAACUGAGACACGGUCCAGACUCCUACGGGAGGCAGCAGUAGGGAAUCUUCCGCAAUGGGCGAAAGCCUGACGGAGCAACGCCGCGUGAGUGAUGAAGGUCUUCGGAUCGUAAAACUCUGUUAUUAGGGAAGAACAAAUGUGUAAGUAACUAUGCACGUCUUGAUGGUACCUAAUCAGAAAGCCACGGCUAACUACGUG